CCUACGGGAGGCAGCAGUGAGGAAUAUUGGUCAAUGGGCGCGAGCCUGAACCAGCCAAGUAGCGUGAAGGAUGACUGCUCUACGGGUUGUAAACUUCUUUUAUAAAGGAAUAAAGUGAGGCACGUGUGCCUUAUUGUAUGUACUUUAUGAAUAAGGAUCGGCUAACUCCGUGCCAGCAGCCGCGGUAAUACGGAGGAUCCGAGCGUUAUCCGGAUUUAUUGGGUUUAAAGGGAGCGUAGAUGGGUUGUUAAGUCAGGUGUGAAAGUUUGCGGCUCAACCGUGGAAUUGCAGUUGAUACUGGCAUGCUUGAGUACAGGAGAGGUAGGCGGAAUUCGUGGUGUAGCGGUGAAAUGCUUAGAUAUCACGAAGAACUCCGAUUGCGAAGGCAGCUUGCUGGACUGAAACUGACGUUGAUGCUCGAAAGUGUGGGUAUCAAACAGGAUUAGUUACCCGAGUAGUC
rnacentral:rRNA from 1 species